rnacentral:rRNA from 1 species
AUAGAGAGUCUCCUUCAUUGGGACUUCUCCCCGGGUUUGGCGAUUGAAUCUCAGGUACGUGACAAGUUCAGAUCCACAGUGCACUUCUCGUCGACUCAUCCCAGAUCGUCUAAGGAAUUCUACCUGGUUGUUUCAUUCUCCUCGGCAUCCUUUCCAUUGACGGAGGAAUCGGUAGCGCUUGCCCUACAAUCUUGCAUUGGU